rnacentral:rRNA from 1 species
AGAGACAGCAGUAGCCACGGGAACACGAAGGGGGCUAGCGUUGUUCGGAUUUACUGGGCGUAAAGGGCGCGUAGGCGGACUGAUAAGUCAGGGGUGAAAUCCCAAGGCUCAACCUUGGAACUGCCUUUGAUACUGUUUGUCUUGAGUUCGAGAGAGGUAAGUGGAACUGCGAGUGUAGAGGUGAAAUUCGUAGAUAUUCGCAAGAACACCAGUGGCGAAGGCGGCUUACUGGCUCGAAACUGACGCUGAGGCGCGAAAGCGUGGGGAGCAAACAGGAUUAGAUACCCGAGUAGUCCCUGUCUCUUAUAC